GACUCUCAGCAACGAAUAUCUCGGCUCUUGCAUUGAUAAAGAACGUAACGAAAUGCGAUACUUAGUGUGAAUUGCAGAAUUCCGUGAACCAUCAAGUCUUUGAACGCAAGUUGCGUCCGAAACUCUUAAGCUGGGCACGCUUGCUUGGGUGUAA